rnacentral:rRNA from 1 species
GAUGAACGCUGACAGAAUGCUUAACACAUGCAAGUCGAUUCAAGUUACCUUCGGGUAAUGAGGAUGGCGGACGGGUGAGUAACGCGUAAGGAACUUGCCUCUUGGUCUGGGACAACUGUUGGAAACGACAGCUAAUACCGGAUAUUAUGAGAUUCUCGCAUGGGAAACUUAUGAAAGCUAUAUGCGCCAAGAGAGAGCCUUGCGUUCCAUUAGCUAGUUGGUGGGGUAACGGCCCACCAAGGCGACGAUGGAUAGCCGGCCUGAGAGGGUGAACGGCCACAAGGGGACUGAGACACGGCCCUUACUCCUACGGGAGGCAGCAGUGGGGAAUAUUGGACNAUGGGCCACAAGCCUGAUCCAGCAAUUCUGUGUGCACGAUGAAGGUCUUCGGAUUGUAAAGUGCUUUCAGUUGGGAAGAAGAAAGUGACGGUACCAACAGAAGAAGCGACGGCUAAAUACGUGCCAGCAGCCGCGGUAAUACGUAUGUCGCAAGCGUUAUCCGGAUUUAUUGGGCGUAAAGCGCGUCUAGGCGGAAAAAUAAGUCUGAUGUUAAAAUGCGGGGCUCAACUCCGUAUUGCGUUGGAAACUGUUUUUCUAGAGUACUGNAGAGGUGGGCGGAACUACAAGUGUAGAGGUGAAGUUCGUAGAUAUUUGUAGGAAUGCCGAUGGAGAANUCAGCUCACUGG